rnacentral:rRNA from 1 species
UACGGGGGGGGUAAGCGUUGUUCGGAAUUACUGGGCGUAAAGGGCUCGUAGGCGGCCAACUAAGUCAGACGUGAAAUCCCUCAGCUUAACUGGGGAACUGCGUCUGAUACUGGAUGGCUUGGAUCCGGGAGAGGGAUGCGGAAUUCCAGGUGUAGCGGUGAAAUGCGUAGAGAUGUGGAGGAACACCGAUGGCGAAGGCAGCCUUCUGGGCCAACACUGACGCUCAUGCACGAAAGCGUGGGGAGCAAACAGG